UACGUAGGCAGCAAGCGUUGUUCGGAGUUACUGGGCGUAAAGGGUGUGUAGGCGGUUCUUUAAGUUUGGUGGGAAAUCUCCCGGCUCAACCGGGAGGGUGCGCCGAAUACUGAGGAGCUAGAGUGCGGGAGAGGAAAGUGGAAUUCCUGGUGUAGCGGUGAAAUGCGUAGAUAUCAGGAGGAACACCGGUGGUGUAGACGGCUUUCUGGACCGUAACUGACGCUGAGACACGAAAGCGUGGGUAGCAAACAGG
rnacentral:rRNA from 1 species